AUGAACAAAGCUAGUGGAGGUGAUGGCAUUCCAGUUGACCUAUUUCAAAUCCUGAAAGAUGAUGCUGUGAAAGUGCUUCACUCAAUAUGCCAGCAAAUUUGGAAAACUCAGCAGUGGCCACAGGACUGGAAGAGGUCAGUUUUCAUUCCAAUCCCAAAGAAAGGCAAUGCCAAAGAAUGCUCAAACUACCACACAAUUGCACUCAUCUCACACACUAGUAAAGUAAUGCUCAAAAUUCUCCAAGCCAGGCUUCAGCAAUACAUGAACCAUGAACUUCCUGAUGUUCAAGCUGGUUUUAGAAAAGGCAGAGGAACCAGAGAUCAAAUUGCCAACAUCUGCUGGAUCAUGGAAAAGGCAAGAGAGUUCCAGAAAAAUAUCUAUUUCUGCUCUAUUGACUAUGCCAAAGCCUUUGACUGUGCUGAUCACAGCAAACUGUGGAAACUUCUUCAAGAGAUGGGAAUACCAGACCACCUAACCUGCCUCUUGAGAAAUCUGUAUGCAGGUCAGGAAGCAACAGUUAGAACUGGACAUGGAACAACAGACUGGUUCCAAAUAGGAAAAGGAGUACGUCAAGGCUGUAUAUUGUCACCCAGUUUAUUUAACUUAUAUGCGGAGUACAUCAUGAGAAACACCGGACUGGAAGAAACAGAAGCUGGAAUCAAGAUUGCCGGGAGAAGUAUCAAUAACCUCAGAUAUGCAGAUGACACCACCCUUAUGGCAGAAAGUGAAGAGGAACUAAAAAGCCUCUUGAUGAAAGUGAAAGAGGAGAGUGAAAAAGUUGACUUAAAGCUCAACUUCCAGAAAACGAAGAUCAUGGCAUCCGGUCCCAUCACUUCAUGGGAAAUAGAUGGGGAAACAGUGGAAACAGUGUCAGACUUUAUUUUUGGGAGUAAAAUCACUGCAGAUGGUGAUUGCAGCCAUGAAAUUAAAAGAUGCUUACUCCUUGGAAGAAAAGUUAUGGCCAACCUAGAUAGCAUAUUGAAAAGCAGAGACAUUACUUUGCUGACUAAGGUCCAUCUAGUCAAGGCUAUGGUUUUUCCUGUGGUCAUGUACGGAUGUUAG
rnacentral:lncRNA from 1 species